CAAAUGCUCGUCCCACUGCUCUGACGUCAAGGCUGACAAAUAUCCAGGAAGAACCUGCUUCAAAGACUAAUGUGGCAUCAAAGCGUACAACUUUGCAUUCUGGAUUAAACUCAUCAAAUACCAGUANNNNNNNNNNNCCUCAUCUGGGGGACCAGCAGCUGCUACUAGACCUGCUACACCAACCAGGCGGCCCACUUUACCUACAACUGCUAAGCCUUCAAGAGCUUCCACUCCUACUUCACGGGCCACCUUGCAUUCCACUAAGUCUUCUGGUCCUCCUGUGAGAUCCUCAACUCCUACUAGGACCUCUACUCGCUCUUCAACACCAACCGC
rnacentral:misc_RNA from 1 species